GUGCCAGCAGCUGCGGUAAUACGAAGGGGGCUAGCGUUGCUCGGAAUCACUGGGCGUAAAGCGCACGUAGGCGGCUUUUUAAGUCAGGGGUGAAAUCCCGGAGCUCAACUCCGGAACUGCCUUUGAUACUGGAAAGCUUGAGUCCGGGAGAGGUGAGUGGAACUGCGAGUGUAGAGGUGAAAUUCGUAGAUAUUCGCAAGAACACCAGUGGCGAAGGCGGCUCACUGGCCCGGUACUGACGCUGAGGUGCGAAAGCGUGGGAGCAAACAGGAUUAGAUACCCUGGUAGUCCACGCCGUAAACGAUGGAUGCUAGCCGUUGGCGGUUUACUCGUCAGUGGCGCAGCUAACGCAUUAAGCACUCCCG
rnacentral:rRNA from 1 species